rnacentral:rRNA from 1 species
GACGAACGCUGGCGGCGUGCUUAACACAUGCAAGUCGAACGGAAAGGCCCUGCUUUUGUGGGGUGCUCGAGUGGCGAAAGGGUGAGUAACACGUGAGUAACCUGCCCUUGACUUUGGGAUAACUUCAGGAAACUGGGGCUAAUACCGGAUAGGCGCUCCUGCUGCCUUGUGGGGGUUGGAAAGUUUCGGCGGCUGGGGAUGGACUCGCGGCUUGACAGCUUGUUGGUGGGGUAGUGGCUUACCACGGCUUUGACGGGUAGACGGCCUGAGAGGGUGACCGGCCACAUUGGGACUGAGAUAGGGCCCAGACUCAUACGGGAGGCAGCAGUGGGGAAUAUUGCACAAUGGGCGGAAGUGUGAUGCAGCAACGCCGCGUGCGGGAUGACGGCCUACGGGGUGUAAACCGCUUUCGCCUGUGACGAAGCGAGAGUGACGGUAAUGGGUAAAGAAGCACCGGCUAACUACGUG